ensembl:lncRNA
GUCGAACUGGAGGUUGGGUGGGACAGGGAGAAUGACAGUUCUGAACAGCCCAGCAGCACUCAGAAGCCAGUAGCGCCCAGCAGCCGGGUACAGCUCCUUAAAUGCCUCAUGGGUCGCCUUCUUAAAGACCUUGACAGCAAGCAAGUCCAGGAAAGAGGACACCCAGGGUGCACCAGGCGCCAUGCCAGGCACUGUACACAGGAGGCCCAGGAACCUCAGGAGACUCUCAUCAGCCUGUCCAUCGCUGCUGUCGGGCCACAGAGGUUUCGUUGAUGCUCCAGAUGCUUAAUUCACCCGGUGAGCCAGCUGCCGCUAGGCUGUCACCCUCCUGCAGAAACACGCCGAACAGCCACCCCAUUGUGGCAGCAUCUCGGCCAUCUGACCACGCACACAUCUGCCCACCCGCUCUGCCGCUGACAAUGGGGUACGACAGAUCCACGCCGGAGGGAGUGUCAGCCCGACUGUCUGGGAGGGGGGCUGGCGUUGGCUAUGGGGGCUCCUCCUCUCCUCCCGAGGGCCCCCCAGAGCUGGAGCGCGGACGUCCAUCUGUGCUGGCAUCACUCAUUUCUGACGCAGCCUGGCAGGUGCUCUGGCUGAGGGGAGGUGGGAUAAAGGCCUGGAGGUAACAUUGCCUCAUUUUUGUGGCAGGAGAUUGACAAGAGGUCUGAGGGCAACUGGAGGGCCUCUGGUUCGCCGCCUUCAGGAAAGGAUCAAGCUGGUGGAAACAAAUUCAAUCAUUCUGAUUUAAGAAAAGGCGUUUUGAGGGCUUUCCUUUCCAUUUUAUAUCACUCCUGGAGUCUUAAAUCCUAAAUUCUUUUUAUUCAAAACGGAUUUAUUUCUGAAGUAUUGGCCUAAUGUCAUUUUAGAAACUUUACUCAGAAUUGAGUUUAAGGAGCUUAUCAGGUACCUUCUGCCCACAACUUGGGACUGCAAAAGACACAGUGCACCACCUGUAUUUUGUUUUUAGAAGGAUGGGUUUAAUGUUCUGACUUUGUCCGACUGUGAUGCCCACUACAAUUAUGGAUAAUUAUUAUGUCUUGCUGAGAAAUUACAGUGGGAUAUGGGCCAUGCAGAAGACAGACUGAUGCACACAGUGCCCCCAGUAGAUUCAGAAACUAAAUAGCCGUAUUUAGAUUUCGGUAAUGGCGUGGAACAGGAAAAAUUCUCUCCUGCUGGGGGGUGGGGUCACUAAAAUUACUUCUAAGGAAAAAAUCCCUCUCCCAACAGUGCAAGCGGAGUAAUCAGCAAUCUAAAAGAGGUAAGAACCAGGGAAAUAAAUAAAGGAAUUAAAAAUCAGGACAUUUUAAGACUGAAAAUGAGGCUUUGUUUGUAACAUGUUCACGAAAAGAAUGUCAGUCUUUCAAAAAAGGCUGCAAUACCAGAGCCACAGGCCUCUGAUUCCCAUUCCCUAAGGCGGCAGAUAUUGAUCAGCUGCCCGCCACGUACCAGAUUCAAAGUAUGUCAGUUUUUAAAAAAUAAUAGACAUCCCUUAAUGUCAAAUCCUAUUGCUAUAUGUGCUAAAAUCACUGAUUGAUGACACUUUUUUAAAAAUUAGAAACAUUAGAUUUGUAAAGGUUAAUAUGCUUUUUUACUCAGUCAUUCAGAUCCUGGAACAGACUCUCAUAAGGACAAACAGUUUUUAAAAUAUGGUGGAGGAAUUUAUCACAUAGAAUUAAUCAUGGCAUUCGGCCUCCUGGUGCAUUUCCUAUUUGGGCCACAUACUCUUGCAAACCAGGGUUAAAUAAGAGAAGGGCCCUGUGCAGGCAGAUGGGGGUGCAAGGGCCUGGCCGAGAGUCUAGAGGGACGAGGUGGGCGAGGGAGUCGGUGAGCCUGGAAGCAAAGCAAAACAGGGCACAGGGGAGGAGAGCAGGGUAGAGAUGGAAACCGGGGUGAGCCAGCUCAUGUGAGCGAGGCUCAUCUUAGGCGAGGUUUACAUGUGGCUUCCAGAGCCUCUGCAGACAGUAACCGACCUCCCUCCAAACCCCAUGGUGAAGUUGGACUCACAGUUCUGUGACUUCCUAGCUCUGUAAACUUGAGCAUGUUACUUGGUUUCUUGUGCCUCAGUUUCUCAUAGGUAAAAUGGAGUCCUUUCUUAUAGUGAGGACUCAGUGAGUUCAUCCAUUUAACAUGCUUGGCACAGUGCUCAGUAAAUGUUAGCUGUUAUUAUUUAGAAGAGUGAAGUGGAUAUUUUUCAUUUUUUUUACUACCCAACAUUGAAAUCUCUUCCUCUUGUGUGGGUCCUGGUGGGAGGCAGGGCUUACCCCACACAAAGGAGGGUGAAGGUGGGCCUGGGGGCAGCCAAAUACACACCCCCUCUUGGGAUUUUAAUCCUGAGGGAGUGAGACAAAGGUGCCCAACGACCCUUAGGGGUGAUCUGCAGAGCUGGUGGCCAUGAGGAAGGGGUGGCAGGCCUGUGUGGCCGGGCAGCCGGACUGUCCCUGUGGUAACUUGGCAUAACCCCCAUUGCUAACCUUCCUGGCCCCUGCCCUCUGCUCUUGCAAUAAAUUCCUUUUCUGGUGAGUUAGCCAGGGGUUGUCCACUGGUUUGCAACUGUCAACUUCAGGAUCAAAUUCACCUGCUAUUUACCCUCAAAAUGAGUUUAUUCAGGAAUAGCCAAAACAAGUGCAAUCCAGGAAGCACAUGCUACGGUGAACCAGAGGCAAAUCCAGAAAAUAAAGGAGGGGAGCUGCUUUUUCUAGAGAAAAGUGGGGAGUAAGGAGAGGUUGUUCUAAAGGAAAGUCCAUUGGAGGGAAGUUACAGUUCAGGGUGACAACAGCUUCUCAUUGGCUGAGCUGUGGCAUCUCUCAUUGGCUGAGCUGCGGCAUCUCUCAUUGGCUGAGCUGCGGCAUCUCUCAUUGGCUGAGCUGUGGCAUUUCUCAUUGACUGAGCUGUGGCGUCUCUCAUUGGCUGAGCUGCGGCAUCUCUCAUUGGCUGAGCUGCGGCGUUUCUCAUUGGCUGAGCUGUGGUGUUUCUCAUUGGCUGGGCUGUUGCCGGGUGGGGAGAGAAAUCUUCCUUCAGUAGUGAAGUAGUUGUACUUGUCAGAGAUGCAAGUAUGAGUCUCUUCCCGUUUGGUGUAACUGAUGGUGUGUGAUAGGGUGCGAGAGCUCCCCCUAGAGGCCGCCACCUCUCCACUUUGGUUGAGGUUUCUUAUUAAUUUCCACACCGCCAAGAACUCUUAGAGGAGCCAAGCUCAACAGUGUCGUCAAAUAUCACUGCCCCCUGGAGACCAGGGUUAGGCUGAUGGUGGAAGGGCCAGAGGCAUGAUGACAGAGCCCUUGGGAGGGCAGGACAGGCAGAAGCCACACCCAUACCUCUGAACCUGGAGAUGGUAGGGGGCUGGGAGGCCAGCAGGUAGGGGAGGCAGCAAACGCUUACCCAGGACCCACACUGCGGGUUUUUGGUCUCUAAUCCUUUAUCACUGUUUCUCUGCCAACUCCUUCCUUGCUGGGAGCAUGGAUUCUUCUGCAAGUGGGGCAAGGGUGUGUUUAUCAGCUUGUUGCAAAUUACAUGGUAAACACCAUCCCCCUGGCUGAGGCGGUUACUGAGUCUCUUUGUUAGAUUAAUAAGAUUACAACAAUCUGGGCAGACUUUCAAGUGUUUAUUUUCAAAACCUUACUUCAGAGGGUGGUGGUAACACAGUACCAGGCCUGACUGGAUCCCGGGUGUUUGGCUAGAGGGCGUUUCUGUUCUGAGUGCUUAUUUCUCCACAUAUGGAGGAAAAAUGGUCAUUAAUCCUCAACCUCUGACAAUUUAUAGUCCGUAUCCUACAGUCCGUUUUGUGAUCAAAAACUUGAGGUUUAACACCUACAUUUUGUCAGCCUUGUGGCCCAGCUCUCAAAGGGGUCUGAAAAGGGGUUACAGAGAAUCCUUUCCCGCAGCUUUUAAGCUUUCUGGUAGACGGCCUGUCCUUCAGUUUGUAACUAUGGGCAUUUCGGCAAAAUUUACUCCAAGUGAAAUGCUGUAACGCAACCCCGUUUUCCUGUUGACUGGUGUUAUUACAUUAUGGAUGUUACAGCUCCUCGGCAAGCACUCACCAGGCUUUGGGGCACAUGGGGGCGCAGGCUGGGGCGGCUCUCCCUGCUGCACUUUAGGACUUUAAUCACGCUCUGCCCUGGGACUCUGCGUAGCUCUGGGCCCUGCCGGCCGCGAGGACUGGGGGGAUCGAGAUGGCAGAAACCGUCUCUGCCUGCGAGGUGCUCUCAGCCCACUGGGGCCAUGGAAGCCUUGCACCUCCCAAGCACACAGGCUCUCAGAGCCUUCACCGUGUCCAGUCUGCCUUCCCCACCUCUCCUCCCGCCGCAGUCUCCCCAGGUCCACCUGCCCACCCCUCUUUCCUUCCCUCUAACGCACAGCCCCAGACCGUGGCUGUGGACACUGCACUUCCCAGACACUCUGAGCAGUCUCACGACUCGGCACAGGUUGACCCAGUUCCCUCGCCCUGCCACGCCCUUCCCCGCCUCCUCACACCCUUCCAGACAGGGCUGCUCUUCUGGAGCUCAACCCUAAGCUCUGGGCUCUCCCAUAUUCCACGCACCCAACUUGGUCCCGGGAUUCCCCACCUGGCUUUAGACUUGGCUGCCUCUCUGUCUGACUCUCCCAUGAGGCGCUGCACUCUUUGAGGCAUUUCAAACUCAUCUUUAUGACCUCCAUGCUGAGCCUGGGAUGUACCACAUACUGGGAAUUUAGUAAAUGUUAAGUGAGUACAUGGGUGAAUGAAUGAAAAAAAUGAGUACAUACCUUAACAGAGAUACAAAUAAUAAUUAGCUUUAUGUAAAGGCUUGUCAAUUUACAGAAGUUUCAUACACAUCAGUUUACAUGAUCCUCAUGGCGAGUUAGAAUAGUUACCAAUGCCUGAAUUUCAGAGAGGUUAAACUAUUGUAACAAUAACGAUAGCUCUAAUGCCUGAGGACUGACUGUGUGUCAGGCACUUAAUAAACAUGCUCUGUUAAUCCUAGAACAACUGUGCAAGGUAGGCAGCCAUCUUUUACAGUUGGGGAAACUGAGUCUCAGAAACAUGUCUAAAGCCAGAGCCAAGAGUGGGACCACAUCUUGGGACUCCCAAGCCUUUGUUUAGUCCCUGACACGAUGUUGGCGGACAGGAGGCUGGAGCCAGGUCCAGACAGCCAAAGGAGGCCUGAGCUAAGUCUGGAAGGAGUGAAGCGAAGAUCAGAGGGGAUGGACAGCCUGGUCAGGGGGACUGACAUGGGCAAGGGAGGGUAGGUGUGAGCAGGCAGGCCAGGCUUGGGGCCUGGGACCUGAGGGACAGUGUGAGGGGUGGGCAAUGGGGCAGGAAACAAUCAACGCUAGUGGCCAGGAGGGACCGAGGCAUAACAGGCCUCGAGUGCCCCGGGGUGUCCAUGCGGAUGGGGGAUGAACACCGCAGGGGCCUUUGGAGUAUUCUUCUGCGUUAGUGGGGAAGAAGCUGGAGGUGGCAAGACCAGCCAAGGCGAUGGUGACAAUUUGGACUAGCCGCAAGGCAGCCUAACAGGGUAGUGGAGUAGAAAAAAAAAGGGGAAAUAGAUACAUGGGAAGUGGAGAACAUUUCCCAUACCUCUCCCCUGCUCUGUUCUUAGGCCAAAGAAAUUUCUCCAAAGAAAAACUUCCCCAUCCUUUGCUGGUUCAGGCCUCUGUGCCUUUGCACUUACUGUUCCUUCUCCCUCAAGUGCUCUUUUCCCCACACAGCCCCACCCACCUGGAGAACACCUAUUCAUCCUUUAAAACCUUGCUCAGAUGUGACUUCUCCACAAAGUCUUUCCUCACUACCAGUGUGAUAGAGUUGACCAUCCCACCUCCGUGCCUUGUCUCUGCUUCUGCUAGGGUGCCAAUGCCACUGAGGUUAGUUUACUGAUCUGCAUCUCCUGGUAGACGGUGAACGCCUCAAUGGUUGGGACUGUUUCCAUCUUUGUGUUCCUGCACCUAGGCCAAUGCCUGAUACAGACUAAGCACGAUGUUUGAAUGAAUGAAUGAACGCAUGCACACAUGAGUAAACGAAUGCAUAAAGACAUUAUUCUCCUCCCUCUUUUCCAGCCAUUCCUGAUGUCCAAUAGAAGUGAGCUACACUCGUUAUUCUCUCUCAGAUGAGGUUUGAAAAAUGUUUUGUUUUCAAAAUGCCUUUGUUUUGAAAAAUGCCUUCAAUUUAAGCUUUGUUUUUGUAAAAUUAGUGAGUAUCUCAUUUGGCAAGUUUGAAACACCCAAAACAAGCAAAAAAUGCUGGUGGAAGGGAAAGGAAAAAAGAGGAGAGAGGGGAAGGCUGGUGGGGCCAUGGGCCUUCAGUUGCUGUUUUCCCUGAGCUCGAUCAGGAAAAACAAAACACCCAGGCCUGGGGCCGCUCUCACAAGCGGCCUCAGACGAGUGUUUACUUCACCUCCUUCCAUUAGCUCUUAAGAGGAGCCAAUAGAAAAGACCUUGAAAAUGGUAAGGAACACCAUGAAAGAGACAUAUUAUUCUGCCUGGAUGGUAAAAUAUGGCCUUGUGAACUACGUGCUAGCUUCCCAUGCUCACUCAAAGAUGAUUUUAAUAUUAAACGUAUUCCUUUCAUUGACUAAGACAUACACUAACUAGGGAGAAAAUGUUUUCCAAAAUUUAAACUUAAAUCUGUUAAUAAGCACAAAUCUUCAUAAAAAAGUCAGAAGUACAUGGAGACUAGCAGCCUAACCUUAGACGGGAAGCCAUCUGUGACUUUAGAACAAGGGUUUUUACUCACUGGAGGGGGCACACUUUUGUGAAAUGCUAAACCAAAUACCACGGAACAUUAUUAUGGCUUCAAAAACUAGUUACAGGCUUCAAUAAGCACACUUUUAUCACAAGAACACACAAUCUAAAGCCAAAAUAGUUCAGUUUAAUACGCCAAAAAUAUGCUCACCCCAUACAUUGUUAGAAAGAGCAGUAGGAAAAAAAAUCUAAAAUUUGCUGCUAAUUCAUUUGACGGCAGCCAACGUCUCCUAUCUUUCUUGGCAAGAGGGCCAUUUUUCUAUGCUGUAUUUUGCACACAGAAAUCUGCAUAGAGUGAUUUGCAUACCAAAAACACGUUUGUAAAAGAAACUACUUGCACAGAAGCCAGGGAGAGAUGGGGUUGCCACUGUUGGCUUCUAUACACACAACGCCCCCAGGCUACUUGCUUUCCUUUUUCAAACAUACUGCAUUUCCCGCAAAGGGUUAUGCACUUUAUGAUGCAUUAAAAAUUAAAGCAAAUAUAUCUUUUAUAUAUCCAAGAGCAACCAUAACAACGAUAACAACACAGGCUAAAUAUUUCCAUGCUAACAGUCUUCAACUUUUUGCUAAGGGGCUGGGAAUAAUAAGUGCUAUAAUAUAUUGAGCUUUUAUUUUAUACCAUGUCUUUUACAUAAAUUAUUGCUAAUUCUCGCCAUCAGUCUUCAAGGCCAGUGCUGUGGCUCCCCGUUUUACAUGAGGAAACUAGGCUUGGGGAGGUGAGGUGGCUCCCCAAAGCCGCGCAGGCCAGCAGCAGCAGCGAAGCCAGGUUUGGAAGUCUGGUCUGACUGCUCUGCCCCUUCCUGCCACCCUGUUCCCCACUGCCUCUCUCUUUCCCCGGUUUUGCCAAAUACCUUUGUUUCAUUUCCAAGGCUGGGUCUACCAGGCUGAGGGGUGGGGGAGUCAUGCUGGCAGAGGUAAUCACUUGGGUUUCCUGGCCUUUUUCUCUGACGAGCCUGGAAGCAGGGCAGCUAGUCUCAAGGCUCAGGGAAGGAGCCCAGGAAAGCAGUGCAGUGACAGACAGGGUGGAUGGGCAGUGGCCUGGGGUGCGGAGGGCACCGGGGGCGGGGAGACAGAUGGGUGGCUGCACAAAGAAGGUACGCGGUAGUUGAGAUGCAAUGGAACCCUCCCACUCGGUGCCCAUGCGCUGUCACCAGUUCAGUGCCAGCCCAGCUGUAUUCUUGGAAACACAGAACGGUUUUGUGUGUACUUAAUUAUAAUGCUACUUACAGACAAUUUGUCAGCAGCAAAUCAGAGGCUUGAUGCACUUCUUAAGAAAAAAAAAUUGGUAGUGGUUCUUUGAAAUGUGUCCAUCUGAUGAAUCCUUUGGAUUCUUCCAGUAUACAGCAUUUGAGAGAAAUCGGCCAUUUCUGGAAUGUCAAUCGGGGGGAAAGUACAAAAUGAAAAGACUGAGGAUGUCUGCAAAAAAAAAGAUUAUCAACAUUUGCUUUCCUUAAGAUGUUUCUUUGUGUAUUUUUUCUCACCUAGUUUCUCUUUUCCAGGGCACGAUAGCAAAAUUUACACCUAAUCCUCUCUCGUUACCCGUGGAUCGCCAGUGCCCGGAGAUUCCUGGCUUUGAGACUUCGUUAUGUAUUAGUCACUGUUAGAAAGCAGUUUUUCUGACACUUUCAGUAAUAAAUCCCUUUGAUAUGAUCUAUGGUAGCUCUGCCUCAUAGCAAGUUCCAGGCUAAAGCAAGUAAUGGAAUAGCAAACUGCUCUGGAGGCAGGCAGACCUGGUUUGAAUCCUGGUUCUGUCACUAUGGUUUUACCUUACUUAAUCUUUCUGACACUCAGUUUCUUCAUCUGUAAAACGGGGAAAAGCAUAUGAGGGCAGAACCUGGUUGCCCAUCCAACAGCCAUUUCCCUCUUCAUCCUUGCUAACAACAGUGACGACAACGAAAAAUCCUGAUUUUGUUCCAGUCCCGAAGUGCGAAAUCCCAGCAGAUGCGCUGCGUUGAUCUAAACCCUGCAUUCCUGUUGUCAGUGACUGGUUUACAGGGUCUACAGGAAAGCGUGUGACCUAAUUCUGGCCAAGGAUGCUGAAGAGGAAACCUGCCAGAAGCUUCCGAGAAAGAUUUUCCUCUCUGAUAAGAGAGACCCUUGAAGAGAAGGCCCAUCUGCCUUCAUCCACUGGCUCCCUGACCCACGCUGUUUGGUGCUGUGGCAGCCGUCUCUUGAACACGAGGGGAACGAUCACUGACACACUAAAGAUGGCAGAGCAGAAGGACCGAAAGAGCCUAGGGCCUUGGGGACAACACUGAUCUAUUGAGCCGACCUUGGUCCACCUAUCUCCAGAUUUCUUGUUAACAACGUCUUUAUGGUUUAACCUAUUGCGUAUUGAGUUUUGUGUUGCUUGCAGUCAAAAACAAUCCUAACUGACACAAAUACCAACCCCACAAGAUGGUUGUAAAUAAAUGAUACAUUGUAUGUAAAGUACUUAACACAAUACCUGGCACAGUAAGUGGUUGCUAUAUAUAUAUAUUAACAACAUUUAUGAGACAUGGGUAAUGAUCUAAAAGAGCAAAAGUUUCAAAACACAACACAGAUAAAUAAGAUGAACGGUACCGAUUUAGCAUGACAAAAAAGCUUUAUAUUCUCGGUAAGGGUGAGAGGAGACACUGAGGUACAAGACUAUGAUUACAGCCUCAAAUCCUCAUAUCUGGGAGUAAGAUGUAACUAUAGGCAGAAUGUGAACGCUAUUGGAGAUGAAAGGACUGUGGUUCUUGGCCAGGUUUCCAUCCAGCCUCUUACAACAGACAAUCACCCUGUCAGCAGCUCCGAUUCAUGUCUGAAGACCAACAAUUACAUGUGAAUUACCAGCCUUGCAAAGGGGCAGAAUUCUUUCAACUCACAGAAUCUCUUUCCAGAAUACCAAAUUUUACUAGUUGUUUUUUUUUAAGAUUGGCACCUGGGCUAACAACUGUUGCCAAUCUUUUUUUUUUUUUUCUGCUUUAUCUCUCCAAAGCCCCCCUGUACACAGUUGUAUGUCUUAGUUGCAGGUCCUUCUAGUUGUGGGAUGUGGGACGCCGCCUCAACGUGGCCUGACGAGUGGUGCCAUGUCCACGCCCAGGAUCCGAACCCUGGGCCGCCACAGCCAAGCGUGCGAACUUAACCACUGGGCCACGGAGCCGGCCCCAUACUAGUAUUUUCUUAAAAAUAUGUUAUUUCUUUAUAGCAGGAAAGAUAGAUAUACUGACAUAUAUUUAAAAUAUAAUACUCAUUGAGGAAUAUGUUGUCCUAGAUAUCACCUACCAUCUCGGAGCACUGUAGCAACUCAGAGGACUAUGUAUACUUUACACAUGAGACACCAGUUUUUGAAACAACCUACUAGAACACAAAGAAAGAAUACAGUAAAAUAACAUGGGAAAAUACCUAGCUAAUAGAGGUCAUGUCAUGUAAUCAAUACUCAAAGUAAACCAGAUUUUUUUCUUCACUCUGUUUUAGCAAAGAGGCAAAUGACAAGAUUUCAAACCAACACUGAGGAUUAGACACACACACUCAUAUCCACUGCUGUCUAGGGUCAGCGCACAUCCACCCCGAAGCCCAGUGCUCUCUCCAGCGACAGUGCCGUGCGACGAGUGUUGAUUGUCAUAACUGGUGGCUCAUGAGGCUUCACAAAUCCCAGAAUUAUUAAUCGUAUUCAGCAUACAAUAAAAGAGAAGUAAUCAGACAUAUGGACAAAAAUCUGUCAAGGAUUGAAAACAAAAGGUGAUUUCUGGUUACCUUGCAGUUCAUUAAAUAAAAUCACCAAUUCCUGAACAUUUUGGUUAACUGAGAUUUUCUUGUACACUGUACACACACCUGCUUUUCUCAAAAUAUAUCUGCUCCUUUUUCUUUCUUACAAUAAAG